CUACGGGGCGCUCCAGUGAGGAAUAUUGCACAAUGGGGGGAACCCUGAUGCAGCAACGCCGCGUGGGGGAUGACGCAUUUCGGUGUGUAAACUCCUUUUAUAUGUCAAGAAAAUGACGGUAGCAUAUGAAUAAGCACCGGCUAACUCCGUGCCAGCAGCCGCGGUAAUACGGAGGGGUGCAAGCGUUACUCGGAAUCACUGGGCGUAAAGGACGCGUAGGCGGGUUGGAAAGUCAGGUGUGAAAUCCUACAGCUUAACUGUAGAACUGCACUUGAAACUUCUAAUCUAGAGUAUGGGAGGGGGAGAUGGAAUUAGUGGUGUAGGGGUAAAAUCCGUAGAUAUCACUAGGAAUACCUAAAGCGAAGGCGAUCUCCUGGAACAUUACUGACGCUAAGGCGUGAAAGCGUGGGGAGCAAACAGGAUUAGAUACCCGGGUAGUC
rnacentral:rRNA from 1 species